AAAAAGAUAAGCUAAAUGUUAAGCUUUUGGGUUCAUACCCCAAAUAUAAAGUAAACCUUUUCUUUUUA
rnacentral:tRNA from 1 species